rnacentral:sRNA from 1 species
GAGCAAUCAUUGUACCCUUGAGUUGCUCGAAGAAGACCUUGUAUUCCUCCUUUUGUGGA